GAAUUUAGAAGUACUUAAUGUUCUGUAAGUUUCCAGCAAUGUUUGAACACGAUGUUCAAACAAGCCGCCACUGAGCCAUGGAUGGCGAAUUGGCGGCGGUUGCGUCCGUUACCAAUCAUAUUCCAGAACAUUUAGUACUUCUUAGUU
rnacentral:ncRNA from 1 species